AGAGCGAACGCUGGCGGCAGGCUUAACACAUGCAAGUCGAACGCCCGGGCAACCGGGAGUGGCAGACGGGUGAGUAACACGUGGGAACAUGCCCUUCGGUUCGGAAUAACUCGGGGAAACUCGUGCUAAUACCGGAUACGUCCGUAAGGAGAAAGAUUUAUCGCCGAAGGAUUGGCCCGCGUCCGAUUAGCUAGUUGGUGGGGUAAAGGCCCACCAAGGCGACGAUCGGUAGCUGGUCUGAGAGGAUGAUCAGCCACACUGGGACUGAGACACGGCCCAGACUCCUACGGGAGGCAGCAGUGGGGAAUAUUGGACAAUGGGCGCAAGCCUGAUCCAGCCAUGCCGCGUGAGUGAUGAAGGCCCUAGGGUUGUAAAGCUCUUUCGGCGGGGAAGAUAAUGACGGUACCCGCAGAAGAAGCCCCGGCUAACUUCGUGCCAGCAGCCGC
rnacentral:rRNA from 1 species